rnacentral:rRNA from 1 species
GACGAACCGUGCUAACGUUGUUCGGAAUCACUGGGCUUAAAGGGCGCGUAGGCGGGCCGGCAAGUCAGGGGUGAAAGCCCCCGGCUCAACUGGGGAGGGUCAUUCGAUACUGAUCGACUUGAAGGCAGGAGAGGGAAGCGGAAUUCCCGGUGUAGUGGUGAAAUGCGUAGAUAUCGGGAGGAGCACCAGUGGCGAAGGCGGCUUCCUGGCCUGUUCUUGACGCUGAGGCGCGAAAGCUAGGGGAGCAAACGGG